rnacentral:rRNA from 1 species
AGUGAACGCUGGCGGUAGGCCUAACACAUGCAAGUCGAACGGCAGCACAGUAAGAGCUUGCUCUUACGGGUGGCGAGUGGCGGACGGGUGAGGAAUACAUCGGAAUCUACUUUUUCGUGGGGGAUAACGUAGGGAAACUUACGCUAAUACCGCAUACGACCUACGGGUGAAAGCAGGGGAUCUUCGGACCUUGCGCGAUCGAAUGAGCCGAUGUCGGAUUAGCUAGUUGGCGGGGUAAAGGCCCACCAAGGCGACGAUCCGUAGCUGGUCUGAGAGGAUGAUCAGCCACACUGGAACUGAGACACGGUCCAGACUCCUACGGGAGGCAGCAGUGGGGAAUAUUGGACAAUGGGCGCAAGCCUGAUCCAGCCAUACCGCGUGGGUGAAGAAGGCCUUCGGGUUGUAAAGCCCUUUUGUCGGGAAAGAAAAGCAGCAGGUUAAUACCCCGCUGUUCUGACGGUACCCAAAGAAUAAGCACCGGCUAACUUCGUG